CCUACGGGGUGCACCAGUAGGGAAUAUUGGGCAAUGGAUGCAAGUCUGACCCAGCCAUGCCGCGUGCCGGAUGAAGGCCCUCAGGGUUGUAAACGGCUUUUAUUCGGGAAGAAGAGCAGGGAUGCGUCCUUGUGUGACGGUACCGAAUGAAUAAGCACCGGCUAACUCCGUGCCAGCAGCCGCGGUAAUACGGAGGGUGCGAGCGUUGUCCGGAUUUAUUGGGUUUAAAGGGUGCGUAGGUGGCUUUAUAAGUCAGUGGUGAAAUACGGUUGCUCAACGAUCGAGGUGCCAUUGAUACUGUAAAGCUUGAAAUAAUUGGAGGCUGCCGGAAUGGAUGGUGUAGCGGUGAAAUGCAUAGAUAUCAUCCAGAACACCGAUUGUGAAGGCAGGUGGCUACGAUUGGUUUGACACUGAGGCACGAAAGCAUGGGGAGCAAACAGGAUUAGAUACCCUGGUAGUC
rnacentral:rRNA from 1 species